rnacentral:misc_RNA from 1 species
GAAAUGCGAUACGUAGUGUGAAUUGCAGAAUUCCGUGAAUCAUCAAAUCUUUGAACGCAUAUUGCGCUCGAGUCCUCGGACAAGAGCAUGUCUGCCUCAGAGUCGGUGUAACCCUCAUUCAUUCCAUCAUGCAUGCAUACAUGCGUGGUCGACUGAUAUGGAUAUGGUCGUCCAUUCAUGCAAGUGAAUGGUCGACUCAAGGUCGAGGCUGCAGUUCCAUUCAUGGACCUCGAUUGGGUAGGCAAUUACCAUUGCUGUACAUGCUUAAUCGAUGGUCGGAAAUGCAUUGCCGAUCGAGCAGGAAUACACAACACACACAAUUCGACCUGAGCUCAGGCAAGAUUACCCGCUGAACUUAA